rnacentral:rRNA from 1 species
GACGAACGCUGGCGGCGUGCCUAAUACAUGCAAGUCGAACGCAGUGGGGACGGGUGAGUAACACGUGGGUAACCUCCCAUCAGAGGGGAUAACACUUGGAAACAGGUGCUAAACCGAUACUGAUGGAUGGACCCGCGGGGCAUUAGGUAGUUGGUGGGGUAACGGCUCACCAAGGCCACGAUGCCUAGCCGACCUGAGAGGUUGACCGGCCACACUGGAACUGAGACACGGCCCAGACUCCUACGGGAGGCAGCAGUAGGGAAUCUUCGGCAAUGGACGCAAGUCUGACCGAGCAACGCCGCGUGAUUGAAGAAGGUUUUCGGAUCGUAAAACUCUUUUGUUAGAGAAGCGGUAUCUAAACAGAAAGCACCGGCUAACUACGUGCCAGCAGCCGCGGUAAUUC